CGCGUAGGCGGACCGAUAAGUCGUCUGUGAAAUCUGUCGGCUCAACCAGCAGCCUGCAGUCGAAACUAUCGGUCUUGAGUAUGGGAGAGGAAAGCGGAAUCUCUGGUGUAGCGGUGAAAUGCGUAGAUAUCAGAGAGAACACCGGUGGCGAAGGCGGCUUUCUGGCCUAAUACUGACGCUGAGGCGCGAAAGCUAGGGGAGCGAACG
rnacentral:rRNA from 1 species